ensembl:lncRNA novel transcript
UUUUGAGACAGGGUCUCACUUUGUCACCCAGGCUGGAAUGCAGUAGUACAAGCAUGGCUCACUGCAGCCUCAACCUGUCAGGCUCACGCAAUCCAAGCUAUCCUCCCACCUCAGCCUCUUGAGUAGCUGGGACUACAAGUGCCUGCCACAUCUAAUUUUUUGUAUUUUUUGUAGAGAUGGAGUUUUGCCAUGUUGCCCAGGCUGGUCUCGAACUUCUGAGCGCAAGUGAUUCAUCUGCCUUAGCCUCCCAAAGUGCUGGGGUUACAUGCAUGAGCCACCAUGCCCGGCCAUAUAUCCUACUAUUCUUUAAGAUUCAGUUCAAGUUCCAUCCGUGUGUGAUGUCUCCUUGACCACUCACUGCACAAUUCUCUCCCUCAUAUGCAUAUUUUAUUUUCCUUCCAAUAGAUAUCCUGUGUUAAUUAUAUGUUAUCAUAUCGCUAAUUUCCCAGUUACAUAUAUGACAUAUCUCUUCUAGAAUACAAGCUUUGUGAGAAUAUAAUGUAUGGCAAAUACUUUCUCAUAUCUCCCAUACACCAAAUACAGCCUUACAUAUUCUGCUAUUUAAAAAACAUCAAACUGGCCGGGUGCAGUGGCUCACACCUGUAAUCCCAGCACUUUCGGAGGCUGAGGCGGGCAGAUCACCCGAGGUCAGGAGUUCGAGACCAGCCUGGCCAACAUGGUGAAACCCCGUCUCUACUAAAAAUACAAAAAUUAGCUGGGCGUGGUGGCGGGCGCCUGUUAUCCCAGCUACUCGGGAGGCUAAGGCAGGAGAAUCACUUGAACCCGGGAGGCGGAGGUUGCAGUGAGCUGAAAUUGGGCCACUGCACUCCAGCCUGGGUGACAAGAGCAAAACUCCACCUCAAAAACAAAAAACAAAAAACAAAAAACAAACAAACAAAAAAAACCUGAUUAUCAGGUCAUAAACUCCAGAGGGAUUUUCCCAAUUCUACUGUUGUCCUAGUUCUUACCUGGAUCAAAUAUGAGCGCCACAAACUGGGGUUUAGUAAUUUUCAUGUCAUUUAUACAAUUGUUUGCAUAUGAAAAAAGAAAAGAGUAACAGCUAAAUGUAACCAAAAUGUAUGAUAUAAAAGUCUAAUUAUAUUUUGAACAUCAUCUAGAAGUCUUUUCUAUUUAAGUCUUGUAGAGUUUUAGUUGAAUAAAAACACACAAACAGAAAAAAUCCCGACUCACCGCCUGGGGUACAACAGGGGCUGCAGCUCCCACAUGAAUGGCAUCAUAAGGGGCUUCUUCAGCAUAUCCCAUUCUUCCAUCCCCCACUGAAAGAAAAACAGCUAUGCUUUAAAAACCUGUUUAGAUCAAACUUAAUGUGAAGAAUUCUAGUACAGGAGGUUUACAAUGGAGAAAGGAUAGAUUUUUCAAUAAAUGAUCCUGGGACAACUGGAUAUUCACUUUUUUGCUGUUUUUAACUCAUUUUAUUUUAUUUUUUGUUUGGUCAGAAACAUUAAAACAAUGGAAUUUUAUUUUGAUGAAAAACUGGAGUUAACAAUCAUUUAGUAAAUGAAAAGCGCUUCAUUUUCCUA